UACGGAGGAUGCAAGCGUUAUCCGGAUUCAUUGGGUUUAAAGGGUGCGUAGGCGGGAUAAUAAGUCAGUGGUGAAAGCCUGCGGCUUAACCGUAGAAUUGCCAUUGAUACUGUUAUUCUUGAGUACAGUUGAGGUGGGCGGAAUGUGUAAUGUAGCGGUGAAAUGCUUAGAUAUUACACAGAACACCUAUUGCGAAGGCAGCUCACUAAGCUGUUACUGACGCUGAGGCACGAAAGCGUGGGGAGCAAACAGG
rnacentral:rRNA from 1 species